rnacentral:rRNA from 1 species
UGCAGUCGAACGGCAGCACGGGGGCAACCCUGGUGGCGAGUGGCGAACGGGUGAGUAAUACAUCGGAACGUGUCCUGGAGUGGGGGAUAGCCCGGCGAAAGCCGGAUUAAUACCGCAUACGCUCUGCGGAGGAAAGCGGGGGAUCUUUCGGGACCUCGCGCUGCAGGGGCGGCCGAUGGCAGAUUAGGUAGUUGGUGGGGUAAAGGCCUACCAAGCCGACGAUCUGUAGCUGGUCUGAGAGGACGACCAGCCACACUGGGACUGAGACACGGCCCAGACUCCUACGGGAGGCAGCAGUGGGGAAUUUUGGACAAUGGGCGCAAGCCUGAUCCAGCAAUGCCGCGUGUGUGAAGAAGGCCUUCGGGUUGUAAAGCACUUUUGUCCGGGAAGAAAACUUCGGGGUUAAUACCUCUGGAGGAUGACGGUACCGGAAGAAUAAGCACCGGCUAACUACGUGCCAGCAGCCGCGGUAAUACGUAGGGUGCGAGCGUUAAUCGGAAUUACUGGGCGUAAAGCGUGCGCAGGCGGUGCUGUAAGACCGAUGUGAAAUCCCCGGGCUUAACCUGGGAACUGCAUUGGUGACUGCAGCGCUGGAGUAUGGCAGAGGGGGGUGGAAUUCCACGUGUAGCAGUGAAAUGCGUAGAGAUGUGGAGGAACACCGAUGGCGAAGGCAGCCCCCUGGGCCAAUACUGACGCUCAUGCACGAAAGCGUGGGGAGCAAGCAGGAUUAGAUACCCUGGUAGUCCACGCCCUAAACGAUGUCAACUGGUUGUCGGGCCUUCAUUGGCUUGGUAACGUAGCUAACGCGUGAAGUUGACCGCCUGGGGGAGUACGGUCGCAAGAUUAAAACUCAAAGGAAUUGACGGGGA